UUUAUAGAGCGCCCUUUCUCUUGAGUCUCCAUUUUCUGCAAUCAGGAUAAUGCAGUGCCUUUCAGAGCCAUUUUCAUUUUUGAAGUGCUCUUUCAUCAUUAGCUAAUAAAUACUCAUCAAUGAAUUUUCCUCAGCGUCUUGGAAGUUGGAGGAAAAAGAAAAUCGCUUUCUAUUUCUAGAGAUGCUGGUUUUCCACAUCCUGUCGGACUCAUCUCUCCAGGACGGUAGCGCUCCAGGAAAAAUUCCCUACUGAAGGGGAACCGAGAGCCUGGAGGAUCUCUUAGAAAGAAACUGGUUCAUACCUUGCCAGCUGCAUCUCCCUUGCUUCUUCCAGGACAAAAUGGGUUGAAAGAACCAGCAGGAACUGACAAGCAUCAUCAACUAAGGUGGAAAAGUAACAAAGAGCUUGAAGACUUUCAUGGAUCCCAGGCCCUGGACGGAGGCAGGCGGCUUCAGACAGCAUCAGACAGAGAACCAAGAAAGCCGAGGGGCAGCCGGAAGGUGCCUGUGGCCGCCGAGCCCAGACUUGUCUUUGGAAAAGACUCAGAAGAGCCAGUAAACUUGGCUUCUUCAGUUCUGCUUCUCAUCGGCCCCAUCAGCAGAGAGAAAUAAUGACUCCCGAAUCAUUUCUGAAUCAAAAAGUUAAAACAGUGUCUCAGUGAUGCUACAUCAUGCCAGACGCAGGCAAAUUGUUCGAAGAUGCUGGCCUAGCAAGAUGGCAACAGGUUUAAAAAAAUAGGAUUCAUAAGAAGUUCCUUUUUUCAGAGACCGUAAACUGGGCUGAAUACAAUAUCCUUGCAUAUUUCCCAUCACCCUCCCAACAUGCUUCACAUCUCCCAGACUCCUAGGGUUAAUCCCCAAGACAACCUUGCUUUGAAAGAAAAAAUGUGGUGAGCCUACUUGAAGAUUUGGAUCCCAGAGGCCUCUUGCCUGUCCUGCCUCAGCCAGACACCGGGCUCAAGGAGAUGGACGUUUACAGAGAAAGAAGCAAAAUUAAUAAUGUCCUAUCCUGCAGAUGAUUCAUAAACGCGAUUGCAUUAGAAAGCGCUUCUUCGUUGCUGUUUGUAGCCCGGGUUAAAGAUACCUAAAGUUGAUCUGUGUGUGCCUGUUCUCAACACGCUAAUAUUUGGAACUAUAUCUGCAUUUGUGAAAAUAAUCUGUACUGCUGGUUCUUCUCCAGAAUAAAUGCUACAUAACCGGUUGGCUGA